CUUUUUUAUGGCUGCAUAGUAUUCCAUGGUAUAUACGUACCACUUUUUGAUUAUCCAGUCUACCAUUGAUGGGCACCUGGAUUGAUUCCAUGCUUUGCUAUUGUGAAUAGUGCUUUGAUAAACACAGGAGUGCAGGCAUCUUUUUGGUAGAAUGGGUUCUUUUCCUCUGUUUUCCCCCUAAUCUUGAGAUACCUAUACUUUAGCCCCGAAAGGCAAACUCAAGAGGCAAGGUCUGUAGGUUUACCACACUGAUUUACCUGCCUAAGAGAAGCAGUUUUCUACAUAGCAUUGUGAUUCUCCUGCCUCAGCCUCCUGAGUAGCUGGGAUUACAGGCGUGCACCACCAUGCCUGGCUAAAUUUUUUUUUGUAUUUUUAGUAGAGGUGGGGCUUCACCAUGUUGGUCAGGCUGGCCUCGAACUCCUGACCUUGUGCUCCGCAUGCCUCAGCCUCCCAAAGAGCUGGGAUUAAAGGCGUGAGCUACUGCGCCUGGCCUUUAGGUACUAUAUUUAUAUCUGUGCUUUAUACAUAAAGAGUGAGAUUUUGCACAGCUCCUCACCAAG
ensembl:lncRNA novel transcript, sense intronic to TRPV1